rnacentral:tRNA from 1 species
GGCGUGGUAGCUCAGCCGGUUAGAGCGCAGGAUUCAUAAUCCUGAGGUCGGGAGUUCAAGUCUCCCCCACGCUACCA